AAGCACCAUCUCCAAUGGCUGGAUUUGUUUUUGGUUUUGCUUCUUCUAAGUUCAUGUUAGACGGGUAAUGUGCUGACGUCAUAACAAGGUUUGAGGGUGACACAUCUCACACACGCAUGCGUGAGCACCCAAUUAUCAUACUUAUGAACUGCAAUUAUCAGCUUAUGGCUGGAUUUGAAGCGGAGACACAUAGCUAUGCUUGACCUAAUACCUCAUUUUGGCUUUUCACUUAUAAUUAAUUACUCACCUAAUCAUUUACUCAGUAAAUGUCCUCUGAAUACCUGCUAUGUUCCAGGCACUUGCUAAAGUCUGGAAACAAAAUAGAAAGCAACACAUAUCUGGCCCUUACAUUUCUAAAGGCGUAAGUAGAAAAUUAAUUUAAAUAGCAUGAAGAUAAUUGGUAAACCCAAGACAUAAUGGUAGCCCAUCUCACUCCAGAUAAGUGUAAAACUAUAGAUGGUGUUUGUGUUACAAGGGAAAGGCACAUUGUACCAUGAGGACGGGGAACAUGGGCUCCACAUAGACUGAAGGAGAGUUUCCCUAAAUUAGAAAUUUUUUUGGAGGACUUUUAUUUCCUGCAGGUGGGGUGGGUUAGAUACCUAAGCAAUCUUGCCCAAAUGAAAGAACUCAAAUGCAGAAGAAAAUAUUUUUAGUAACAACUUUCUAAAGCCAUUGCUGGGUUGGCACAAAAAUAAGAAUCUAUAGAUCCCAAAAAGAAGGAAAAGCCAGACAGACACCCAAGUGGAAUAUGCCAAGCAGGCGCUUUCAGGAAAUGGAAUAUUAAAAAUCCAAGAAAACAAUGGAAGGCCUAAAAGAAAGAACAAUGCCAUGGCGAGGUACUCAGAGCUGAGGGAGGAAGAUUGCUGCAGCCAGUGAGCUAAGCGGAAAGAAUAUCCUGGGCUUCCUUGGGAUCCGAUGUGGACUUGGUCCAGCUGCAGGGAGAGAAUGUACUGCUCAGGCCGACGUGAGGAUCCAAUCCACUCACCGGUUACAUGCCACGAUGUAAAUUAAUAAAUUCGCAUUCUGAUUUUAUCAUCUGCCUCAUCUGAGGUCUGUAGGCGUGAGUCAGCAUCCCCUAGUUUAAUCAACAUGGACACUGAGACUAUCAAGCUUUUGAGCUGAAAAGCUAAGAAUUAGACCCAGGACCAGAGUGAAAUCACCAAGAUGAGGAAAUCCAAGCUCAGAAUGGAUAAUUCACCUAAGGAAAUACAGAUGGAAAAUGGCAGAGCUGCAAUCUAAACCCAGGUCCAUCUGAUAAUAAAGCCCAGGCUCUCCUCAACCAACUUCAGAUCUAGGAUGCUUCCAGUGAGACUCCGUGCUCCCUCCCUGUGUGGUUCCCAUGGCCUUUCUUUACCUCAAGAAAAUGCAGAGUGAAAAGCAAUGGUAGCAGAAGUUUCUAGAAGUUACUUAUAUGGCAAGUGCAAGUAUUUCAGAACACAUUUGAGAUUCAGGAAGGAGGCAAAAAGGCUUCUGCUGAGCAGUCAAAAUGACGAAGUUUGUAAACUUCACUUUAUUUGGGUCCCUGCUGAAAGUCUACCUACUCUUUAAAAACAAUAACAACAACAAAAAAUGGGAACACACUAUUAACGCUGUUCUGCACAUGUAUUUUUCAAUUAACAAUUGAGGUCUCAUCAAAUAACCAAGAAAGAUAAACCACCAGAAGAGAUGAGACUGGGAAUCAUCACCACACCCAGACAGACUUCAUCUAUUCUUCUGAGAGCAGCUCCAAGAGAUUGCCUGGAGGACUUUAUCUGCUUAAUAAGACAAGCUUUGUUCCUGUACAGCUCCGCCCCUCACCUUCCUGUAAUAUCUGCCUCCCACCUCCCCAGUCCAUACAUCUCCUCCCUCCUGUAUGAAAAAGGGUAUACAAGCUUCUGUGCCCCAUUGGGUUAUUGGGAAAUCAUUCUCCUGUGAUUCCCCUGUGCCAUGCACACUAAAAUAAAAUUUUGUAUGCCUUUUCUCCUAUCGAUCUGCCUUUGGUCAGUUGAUUUUUCAAUGAACCUUCAGAAGGCAAAGGGGAAGUUUUCCCUUGGCCCCUGUACAUGUCUUUUGUAACUAUAGAUAAUGCUGUCAUGAACACCCUUUCUUCCCCCAUGUCUGAUGGGUAACGCACCAACAUUGUAACAAAAUUGGAGGAAGGCAUAUGUCACACAUGAGCGUGAAAACCCAAUCACCACGCUUAUGAACUACAAAAAGUACAUGAAACUGUGUUAUCCACAAGUCAGAUGAACCCAAAGAACUUGUUUCCAAGCCCUUCCUGGAGCAGAAUCAGUGAAGAGGAGGGGAAAGGGUUGCUAGAGGCUGUUGGCCUGAAGCAAUACAAGCUACUGCUGACAGUCUGGCAGGAGAAAGGAGACACAAAACUCUACAAAGCAAACACAAGAAGGAAAACAGGCCAGGAUCAUUUAGCAGAAGGUCCAAACAGUCCAAGACGGCAGAGUAGGCCUUUAGCAUAUACGAACUGAGGUUGAGAAGUACACUUAACCAUGAAAAAAGGGGCUUAAAUCUCUUCUCCAUGCUCUGUUUUAGAAGGCAGAAGAGUGUAAAAUCCAUUUUAGAAUUAUUUUCCUCUAAAAUGGCGAUCUAGGAAAAGGCCCAGCACUUGAAAGGACAAACGUCGACUGUGUAUGUAGCACACACCAUAACCUAUGGCGUUGGAUAGAGUGCUAUUAUACAAAAAUUGAUUGCUUUUUUUUUGAAAAAACAAGGACAGACAAGGCCUAUAAAGAAUAUGGAAGAUGGGCUCUUAGAAAAGGUGGACAUUUUGGCCGGGUGCUGUGGCUCACGCCUGUAAUCCCAGCACUUUGAGAGGCCGAGGCGGGCAGAUC
rnacentral:lncRNA from 1 species